rnacentral:lncRNA from 1 species
UUUUCACUUGGGCUCGUAAUAUCGGCACAAAAAAUAUUAGGGAUCGUAGAGGCCAAUUACGUAUUUUCUUUUUCGAAGGUAAGAGAAAUUACCAAUGUUUAAUGCAAUUUUUUUUUUUUUUUUUUGUAUCUAGACCAUUUUAGGGUUAUAUACAUUUUCCGUAGUUUGUUUAACAGAAUUUUUUUUACCACAAAAUAGCAUUAUGGUUAAUAUAUUUAAUUACGACUGCAUAAACUUGAGAACUCAUGCAUGUGUCUGUCACUACUACUUGAGCUGAAACCCAAAGUAUUAUUUUAAUGAAAUUAACCUAACCACAUUUUUUACUAAACAUAUUUUCUUAAAAUUAUUUUCAAUUAGAGUCUUUAAUUAAAGAAAUAAUAAUUAUUCAUUCUGAUGAUUUAUUGUAGCAACUUAUAUUAAAAAUUGAUAAUUUGGGCUGGAUCAGAGUCUUGCAAUGCAAACCAUCAUUCAUUUAGCGAUAAUUAACGCAUACUUUGUACGAAUAUUAAUAUAUAUUUUACAUGUUUUAACACACUCAUAAAUAUUUAAUAUUUAUGCAUUUUUUAUACUUAUUAAUAUACUUUUUGUUUUCUAGCUACCACUCAUUAGAUAAUGUUGGGUUUUCCUCAUUUAAAACCAGAAAUUAAAAUUGUUACAAAUACUGUGACAUAAUUUUCAAUCUAUAACAUAGAUGCUGUAUGGACCGGGUUUUUUACAAUUUAUUUUUUGGGGUUUCAACUGUUUUACAUGUUUAAGCUAUAACAAAUACGCUACAAACAAAACGAUGUCGUAUGUAACUUCUUUUUGCAUUUUAGUACGAAGGAAAAUGCUACAGGGCAGUGACGUGGCUCAGCAACUUGGCCCAUUCAAAACUUCUACGUUCGCAUAGUAUAGCAAACACGCGACCACCAUAAAACAUGCAAGGAUAUGUUGCGGAAAAAUGAUGAAUUUUUUUAAAGGAAUAACAUAUCAUAAUGUAAAAAAUUUAAAAUUAGACAAGGUACAUUUAGGAUGUUAUUUUUAAUAUAGUAAUUUUUUUAUUAUAGUGUUAAUGGACUCUUGAAAAUUCUAUCUCAAGGAUACAAUACCUAUUAAUUUAAGAUUAAUUGAAGCUGCACUCCUUAAUAGUCUUAGAAUUAGAAUCUAACCUCAAAAAAGAAGAAUAAUAAAGAACAGAGAUAAGAACAAUAAUUAAAGAAGUAUAAAGAGAUAGAAAACUUUUCACUUGUGUGUAUUCAUUUUUAGAUUUUCUGUAGUCCUAUUUAUCGGACAUUUUUGCAUACUAGCCAUUUUGGAUAAAAUUUCAACGGUUUGGGACGAAGUCCUAACGGACUAAAACUUAAAGCGAAAUGAAUGGUAAUUAAAAUGGGCCAUUAAUUAAAAUAAUAUUAUUAUCGUUAAUUUAAAUUCUAAACUAAAAUCUCUUUUUUUAUGAGUUUCCUCAAAUAAAGAAUCUCAAAGUUUGAGGAAAAAAUAAUAAGACUUCUCCAAAUUAUAGGAGAGUUUUUCCUAUCCAAACAUUUAACUAAGUAAUGUGAGACAAAUAUUCUCUUAUAAAAAGAGAAUCACUCCCGUAAGAAACUCACCUUAGCAAUGUGGGAUAAACUUUUUUUUAAUAAUAAAGAGUCAUUCUCAGUAAAAGUUUUCCUAAGAGAUGUGGAAAAAAUAUCUCACUAAAAACUUGACUUAACAAUGUGUGGUAAAAUUUUCACACUCACAUGGAUCUCCUUCAAAUUUAAAAAAUUAUUAAUACUCAGGCCGAAUUUGGAAACACAAGUUUUGACAUAAUUUUAGACACUCCAUCAUAAACCUUGAAAUCAAGUACGGAUAUUACAGUAAACUCUCUCCUCCCUCAAUAUUCACAGACGUUAUCUCUCUUUUUCUCUACCUUUGUUAUCAUCAGAUAAGAACCUUGCCCUGCCGUUGCCGUUCCUCGCACGCCCACCACCACUCCAGAGAGAGAGAGAGAUCCAUUGCCAUUAACACUAGAGACCCACCUACCUCACUGAAGAGGGAGAGAGAUUGUCAACGACGUGGUCGCAACAGUUCGCCGCAGAAUGACCCAUGAUGGGACAUGGUCGCACGUUGUUCGCCGUUGUCCGUUGUCAACGACCCACAUAUUCGGAGGUGGUUGCUCGUUACUGAUUGGUGGAUGACCCACUGGAUUGUAAAAUCAAACCCAAAUUGAAACAAUUGAGGAAAUCGAACUCACCAAAAUUAAAUUGGUUUAUGUAUUUUAUUUGUAUGGACGUGGGAUUUGGGUUUCGGUUUGGGAUUCCCCUCUUUUAUUGUAAAUUUUUGAUUGUUAGGGAGAGAGUGAAGAGAUGCUUAUAUGGGUUUAUUUGAGUUUUUGGGUUCCUUCACAUACAUAAACACACAAUAUGGUGGUUUUGCGUGCUACUAUGGAUGGGAGAAAGAGAAGGGGGGUUUCACUUUGGAAGAGAGAAUAUUCUAUUAAAGGAUUUUGAAGAAGCAAUUGGGGUUUCAAUUGGAUUUUUAA